AUGCUGAUGAGUCCAAAACAGGACGAAACGCGCGUCCUGGAU
rnacentral:hammerhead_ribozyme from 1 species